rnacentral:rRNA from 1 species
AAUUAAUAAAUUAUUAAUAAUUUUAUUUAAAAAUUUAUUAAAAUAAAUAAAUUAUAGUUUAAUUAUUUUUUAAGAAAAAAUUUUUUUUAUAAUAGUUUAUUAGUAUUGUGAAAGAAUUAAAAUUUUAUAAUAAAGAAAAAUUAAUUUUUUGUACCUUGUGUAUCAGGGUUAAUCAAAAUGAAUUAAUUAUUUAAUUUUCUCGAAUUUAAAAGAGCUAAUAAAUUAUUUUUUUAAUUAUUUUAUAAAUUUUAUUAAUAAUUUAUUAGUAAUGAAAUGCCAUUCGUUUUUAAAUAUAUCUAGUUCUUUAUAUUAAAUUUACCUUUUUUUAAUAAAAAAUAUACUAUUAUUUUAUUAAUUUUAUAUUUUUAUUGGUUAAUAUUAUAAGGGAUAAGCUUUAUAAUUUAUCUUUAAAAAUUUAUUGAAUAGAUUAAUUUAUAGGAUUGAAAAUUUCCAUUAUUAUUAAUUUGUUAUAAUUAUUUUAUUAAUAAUUUUAUUUAUAUAAAUUUUAAAUUUUUUAUUAAAAUAUUAAUAUUAAUAAUUAUUAUUAAGUAAUAAUGAUUAAAUUAGUAAAAUAUAUUUUAUAAAUAUUUUUAUCUUUAAGAUUAUUUUAAGGAAUUCGGCAAAAGUUUUUCCGCCUGUUUAUUAAAAACAUGUCCUUUUGAAUUUAAUUUAAGGUCUUACCUGCCCCCUGAGGUAUUAAAUGGCCGCGGUAUUUUGACCGUGCUAAGGUAGCAUAAUCAAUAGUUUUUUAAUUGAAAGCUAGAAUGAAAGGUUUGACGAGAAAAAAUCUGUCUCAAUUUAAUAAUUUGAAUUUUAUUUUUAAGUUAAAAAGCUUAAAUUUAUUUAAAAGACGAGAAGACCCUAUAGAGUUUAAUAAAUUUAUUAUAUUUAAUUUUUUUAGUAUUUUUUAUAUUUAAUAUAAUAAUUUAUUUAAUUGGGGUGAUUUAAAAAUUAAUAAAACUUUUUAAAUUUUUUUUCAUUAAUUUAUGUAUAUAUGAUCCUUUAAUUAUGAUUAUUAGAUGAAAUUACCUUAGGGAUAACAGCGUAAUUUUUUUUGAGAGUUCUUAUUGAAAAAAGAGAUUGCGACCUCGAUGUUGGAUUAAAAUUAAUUUUUGGUGUAGAAGCUAAAAUAUUAGGUCUGUUCGACCUUUAAAAUUUUACAUGAUCUGAGUUUAAACCGGUGUAAGCCAGGUUGGUUUCUAUCUUUAAAUUUAAUUAAUAAUUUAGUACGAAAGGACCAAUUAUUAAAUUAAUAAUUUAGUUUAUAGAAUAUUAGU